UAUGAUUACACGGGAUAUGGUGGAUCUUCAGGUAAGCCAUCUGAGUUCAACACGUACCACGACAUAGAAGCUGUCUAUAAUUGUUUGAAGAGUGAAUACAGCAUUAAGCAAGAGGAUAUCAUCCUAUAUGGACAAUCUGUUGGCAGUGGACCGACACUACACUUGGCAUCUCGCCUACAGAGGUUAAGAGCCAUUGUUCUUCAUAGCGCUAUACUUUCAGGAAUACGAGUUCUAUAUCCUGUCAAGAUGACAUUCUGGUUUGACAUUUUCAAAAAUAUAGACAAAAUACAAAAAGUCAGCUGCCCGGUUUUAGUAAUCCAUGGUACAUCAGAUGAAGUUGUUGACUUUUCACAUGGUAAGCGUUUGUGGGAACUUGCCAAAGAGAAAUAUGAUCCAUUAUGGGUCGAAGGUGGAGGACAUUGUAAUUUAGAGACAUUUCCCGAGUACAUCAAGCACAUGCGCAAAUUCGUUAAUGCAAUGGAGAAACACUCGUUCUCUAAACGAAACAAAGGACGGCUUUCUCAAAGCCCGAGUAUAGCUGAAUCCAAA
rnacentral:misc_RNA from 1 species